GAACGCUGGCGGCGUGCUUAACACAUGCAAGUCGAACGAAGCUCUUUACUUGAUCCCUUCGGGGUGAUUGUAAAGAUGACUGAGUGGCGGACGGGUGAGUAACGCGUGGGGUAACCUGCCCUAUACAGGGGGAUAACAGUUGGAAACGACUGCUAAUACCGCAUAAGCGCACAGUACCGCAUGGUACAGUGUGAAAAGCUCCGACGGUAUAGGAUGGACCCGCGUCUGAUUAGCUAGUUGGUGAGGUAACGGCUCACCAAGGCGACGAUCAGUAGCCGACCUGAGAGGGUGACCGGCCACAUUGGGACUGAGACACGGCCCAAACUCCUACGGGAGGCAGCAGUGGGGAAUAUUGCACAAUGGGCGAAAGCCUGAUGCAGCGACGCCGCGUGAGUGAUGAAGUAUUUCGGUAUGUAAAGCUCUAUCAGCAGGGAAGAUAAUGACGGUACCUGACUAAGAAGCUCCGGCUAAUACGUGCC
rnacentral:rRNA from 1 species